CAUCAACUCAUCAUCAUCACACCACCUUGCCGCUCUCUCUCUCUCUCUCUCUCUCUCAAUUCUUUCAAUCAAGCUCUGAAAAAUUCAGAGUACUCUCCCCUUUCUCCCUCUCAAAUUAUCCCUUUCUCUCUCUCUCUCUCUCUCUCUCUUGUUUCCUCAAGGAAACCUCCAUGGGAGCUUGAAUCAAAGCUUUGAAAAGACACUAUUAAAGGUUUCAAAAGCUCAAGGCAGCCACAAGACGCACAACCUCAUUGAGGAUCUUGUAUGUUACUUUGAUCAUCAAGGAGAUAUUGGAGAAUAGUGGAGAGGCCUGAAACCUAGGUAGGACAGACACAACCAAAACCUAGAGCAACUAAGGAAAAGUUAAGGGCAAAGUGGAGCAGUGAGCGCUGGGGUCUGUUUGCCGAAUGUACAUGUGGCCCAACCUUUGGGGUUUAUGGCUUUUGAAAAGGAUGUUUUGUAUAACGUUCAUUACUAUUGGUUUACUUAAAAUGUUGGAACAAUGUUGUUAUUUUAUUUUAAGUAUGCGCAUAAUUUAUUUUUAAAAGUUUUUUUAUAUGGAUUUUUGGAGACUUUGAAAAUGAAAUCUUUGUUAUUUCCACAA